rnacentral:rRNA from 1 species
UACGUAGGGUGCAAGCGUUAAUCGGAAUUACUGGGCGUAAAGCGUGCGCAGGCGGUGAUGUAAGACAGGUGUGAAAUCCCCGGGCUUAACCUGGGAACGGCAUUUGGGACUGCAAGGCUGGAGUGUGGCAGAGGAGACUGGAAUUCCUGGUGUAGCAGUGAAAUGCGUAGAUAUCAGGAGGAAUACCGAUGGCGAAGGCAGGUCUCUGGGCUGACACUGACGCUCAUGCACGAAAGCGUGGGGAGCAAACAGG